AUCACAUGUAAAGCACGAAUUGGUCCUUUUUCUCGUUCAAGGCCUAAACCAAGCUUCUGGGCCAGUCAAAUAGAUCGGACCAGCUCAAAUGAGCUGGGUCAUCAUACAAAAUCUGGAGGAUUGCCUCUCGGCGAAGGCGGAGCAUAAAAUGGUACAGUUGUACAGAUUCAGGCAUGAAGAAAUAGCAUGCGAAUUUCUUUGAAAGUCUUUUUUUUUUUUUUUGUCCCAGGGC
rnacentral:lncRNA from 1 species